rnacentral:rRNA from 1 species
CCUACGGGGCGCUGCAGUGAGGAAUAUUGGUCAAUGGACGAGAGUCUGAACCAGCCAAGUAGCGUGAAGGAUGACUGCCCUAUGGGUUGUAAACUUCUUUUAUAUGGGAAUAAAACGUUCCACGUGUGGGAUUUUGUAUGUACCAUAUGAAUAAGGAUCGGCUAACUCCGUGCCAGCAGCCGCGGUAAUACGGAGGAUCCGAGCGUUAUCCGGAUUUAUUGGGUGUAAAGGGAGCGUAGGUGGAUUGUUAAGUCAGUUGUGAAAGUUUGCGGCUCAACCGUAAAAUUGCAGUUGAAACUGGCAGUCUUGAGUACAGUAGAGGUGGGCGGAAUUCGUGGUGUAGCGGUGAAAUGCUUAGAUAUCACGAAGAACUCCGAUUGCGAAGGCAGUUCACUGGACUGCAACUGACACUGAGGCUCGAGAGUGUGGGUAUCAAACAGGAUUAGAUACCCCAGUAGUC